UACGGAGGUGGCAAGCGUUGCUCGGAAUCACUGGGCGUAAAGGGCGCGUAGGCGGGGAGGUAAGUCGGGUGUGAAAUCCCUCGGCCCAACUGAGGAACUGCGCCCGAGACUGCUUCUCUUGAGUCCCGGAGAGGAAGAUGGAAUUCCCGGUGUAGCGGUGAAAUGCGUAGAUAUCGUAAGGAAGACCAGUGGCGAAGGCGGGUCUCUGGACAGUUCCUGACGCUGAGGCACGAAGGCCAGGGGAGCAAACGGG
rnacentral:rRNA from 1 species